GUUCUCGAAAGUGAACUCCAAAGGUAUCAUCAUGAAGACUGCCUUCCUUGUUGCUCUCCUGAUUACUUGCGUUGUCAUGGUUACCAUGCCAGUGACUGAAGCCCAACGUCACUAUGACUGCCAUUGCAGUAGCGGACCGUGUCGUCACCCAAAGAGAAACUCCGGCCCGUGUCCACGCAACCCACGACAGAAGUAUUGCUGUAGAUAUUGAGGACCACCAAAGCACACCAGACCACAUUGAAAUUCGAAUGUUCUGGUUAGGUUGAAUCAAUAAAACAGCGCAAUGUU